UACGGAGGGGGCAAGCGUUAUUCGGCAUUAUUGGGCGUAAAGGGCGCGUAGGCGGCUAGAUGUGUCAAAGGUGAAAUCCCUCGGCUCAACUGAGGAACUGCCUUUGAAACUGUCUGGCUUGAGGCCGGGAGAGGGUAGCGGAAUUCCCAGUGUAGCGGUGAAAUGCGUAGAUAUUGGGAGGAACACCAGUGGCGAAGGCGGCUACCUGGACCGGUUCUGACGCUGAGGCGCGAAAGCGUGGGUAGCAAACAGG
rnacentral:rRNA from 1 species